UUAGAGUUUGAUCAUGGCUCAGGAUGAACGCUAGCGGGAGGCCUAACACAUGCAAGCCGAGCGGUAUUGUUUCUUCGGAAAUGAGAGAGCGGCGUACGGGUGCGGAACACGUGUGCAACCUGCCUUUAUCUGGGGGAUAGCCUUUCGAAAGGAAGAUUAAUACUCCAUAAUAUAUUGAACGGCAUCGUUUAAUAUUGAAAGCUCCGGCGGAUAGAGAUGGGCACGCGCAAGAUUAGCUAGUUGGUGAGGUAACGGCUCACCAAGGCGAUGAUCUUUAGGGGGCCUGAGAGGGUGAUCCCCCACACUGGUACUGAGACACGGACCAGACUCCUACGGGAGGCAGCAGUGAGGAAUAUUGGUCAAUGGGUGCAAGCCUGAACCAGCCAUCCCGCGUGAAGGACGACUGCCCUAUGGGUUGUAAACUUCUUUUGUAUAGGGAUAAACCUACCCUCGUGAGGGUAGCUGAAGGUACUAUACGAAUAAGCACCGGCUAACUCCGUGCCAGCAGCCGCGGUAAUACGGAGGGUGCAAGCGUUAUCCGGAUUUAUUGGGUUUAAAGGGUCCGUAGGCGGACUUAUAAGUCAGUGGUGAAAGCCUGUCGCUUAACGAUAGAACUGCCAUUGAUACUGUAAGUCUUGAGUAUAUUUGAGGUAGCUGGAAUAAGUAGUGUAGCGGUGAAAUGCAUAGAUAUUACUUAGAACACCAAUUGCGAAGGCAGGUUACCAAGAUAUAACUGACGCUGAGGGACGAAAGCGUGAGGAGCGAACAGGAUUAGAUACCCUGGUA
rnacentral:rRNA from 1 species